rnacentral:rRNA from 1 species
GUGGGGAAUCUUGCACAAUGGGCGAAAGCCUGAUGCAGCAACGCCGCGUGCGGGAUGAAGGCCCUAGGGUUGUAAACCGCUUUCAGCAGGGAAGAAAAUGACGGUACCUGUAGAAGAAGGUGCGGCCAACUACGUGCCAGCAGCCGCGGUGAUACGUAGGCACCAAGCGUUGUCCGGAUUUAUUGGGCGUAAAGAGCUCGUAGGCGGUUCGGUAAGUCGGGUGUGAAAACUCUGGGCUCAACCCAGAGAGGCCACCCGAUACUGCCGUGACUGGAGUGCGGUAGGGGAGUGGGGAAUUCCUGGUGUAGCGGUGAAAUGCGCAGAUAUCAGGAGGAACACCAGUGGCGAAGGCGCCACUCUGGGCCGUAACUGACGCUGAGGAGCGAAAGCGUGGGUAGCAAACAGGAUUAGAUACCCUGGUAGUCC